rnacentral:rRNA from 1 species
AUGAAGGCCAGCCUCCAAGAAUUCUUCCAGCUACCCGCGGAGAAGAAGAGACGAUUCACGCAGCAAGAAGGGCGGCUGGAAGGCUACGGUCAGCUGUUCGUCGUCUCGGAGGAUCAGAAGCUCGACUGGGCCGACAUGCUCUUCCUCUACGCACAGCCACCCGAGAUCAGGAAGACCAAGCUCUGGCCUGACCAGCCUGCUGCCUUCAGUCAGGCAGACAAAGUCGUUGGCCUCUCCCCGCACUCGGACGCCGAUCUCCUGACUCUCGUCCUCCAAGUGAACCACGUCCAAGGCCUGCAGAUCAAGAGGAACGGCAGCUGGUUUCCCGUCAAGCCCGUCGAGGGUACAGGAGCAUCGAGCACCGCGUGGUGGUGGACCCCGAGGAGGAGCGGCUGUCGGUGGCGGCGUUCCACUCUCCAAACACCUCUGAAGGAGCUCAUGGCGCGUGCCGACGGGGAGGCCGAGGCCUAUGCGACGGUGGAGCAUGAGAGGUUGAGGGAGCUCUUCUUGGCGACGAAGCUGGAGGGGAAGAGUUUCUUGGAGCGGAUGAAGCUCCCAAGUAGUAGCUGA